rnacentral:lncRNA from 1 species
CUGUCUCGAUCACCACCGCCGCAACCUAUACUCUAGUACCACUUUACUCUAAUACCAAUUGUUGUGCAAGAUUCGAUACCAUAUGGUGCAGUAGGAAGAAAGAAGAAGUAAAAUAAGAAACACAAUACAAAUACGUGGAUCAGUCUCAAGCCUACCUUCACGGGGCAUGCAAGCUUCACUAUAAGAGAAUAAAAUAAAAUCAAUACAAGAGAAACUCACCACUCAAUCUU